rnacentral:rRNA from 1 species
GACGAACGUUGGCGGCGUGCUUAAUACAUGCAAGUCAACUGAAGCACCGGUAGUAAUACUGGUGUGGAGGUGGCGCACGGGUGAGUAACACGUAGGUAAUCUGCCUUCAGGUCUGACAUAACCCCGAGAAAUCGGGGCGUAAUAGCAGAUGAUGCAGCGGCUUGACAUCAAGACAGUUGUUAAAGCUUCGGCGCCUGAAGAUGAGCCUGCGUCUGAUUAGCUAGUUGGCGGAGUAAUAGCCCACCAAGGCGACGAUCAGUAGCUGGUCUGAGAGGAUGAUCAGCCACACUGGAACUGAGACACGGUCCAGACUCCUACGGGAGGCAGCAGUAAGGAAUAUUGCUCAAUGGGAGAAAUCCUGAAGCAGCAACGCCGCGUGAGGGAUGAAGGGCUUUUGCUCGUAAACCUCUGUAGUGAGGGAAAAAAUUUCCAUUCUAUGGAAUAUGAUGG